GACGAACGCUGACGGCGUGCUUAACACAUGCAAGUCGAACGCUGAAGCCCUUUGGGGUGAAUGAGUGGCGAACGGGUGAGUAACACGUGGGUAAUCUGCCCCGCACUUGGGGAUAAGCCUGGGAAACUGGGUCUAAUACCGGAUAGGACAUUCUGCCGCAUGGUGGGGUGUGGAAAGUUCCGGCGGUGUGGGUUGAGCCCGCGGCCUAUCAGCUUGUUGGUGGGGUGAGUGCCUACCAAGGCGACGACGGGUAGCCGGCCUGAGAGGGUGACCGGCCACACUGGGACUGAGAUACGGCCCAGACUCCUACGGGAGGCAGCAGUGGGGAAUUUUGCGCAAUGGGCGGAAGCCUGACGCAGCAACGCCGCGUGGGGGAUGACGGCCUUCGGGUUGUAAACCUCUUUCGUUAUCGACGAAGGCCUGCGACGUGGUCGUGGGUUGACGGUAGGUAGGGAAGAAGCACCGGCUAACUACGUGCCAGCAGCCGCCGUAACAC
rnacentral:rRNA from 1 species